GUGAACGCUGGCGGUAGGCCUAACACAUGCAAGUCGAACGGCAGCACAGUAAGAGCUUGCUCUUACGGGUGGCGAGUGGCGGACGGGUGAGGAAUACAUCGGAAUCUACUUUUUCGUGGGGGAUAACGUAGGGAAACUUACGCUAAUACCGCAUACGACCUACGGGUGAAAGCAGGGGAUCUUCGGACCUUGCGCGAUUGAAUGAGCCGAUGUCGGAUUAGCUAGUUGGCGGGGUAAAGGCCCACCAAGGCGACGAUCCGUAGCUGGUCUGAGAGGAUGAUCAGCAAAACUGGAACUGAGACACGGUCCAGACUCCUACGGGAGGCAGCAGUGGGGAAUAUUGGACAAUGGGCGCAAGCCUGAUCCAGCCAUACCGCGUGGGUGAAGAAGGCCUUCGGGUUGUAAAGCCCUUUUGUUGGGAAAGAAAAGCAGCAGGUUUAUACCCCGCUGUUCUGACGGUACCCAAAGAAUAAGCACCGGCUAACUUCGUG
rnacentral:rRNA from 1 species